rnacentral:lncRNA from 1 species
AUCUAAGCAACGAAAAAAACUAAAUGAAGCAACGGAGCAGCAGACUCUGAGCGAGAAUGUGAUGUAAACCUGACGGACCAGAAGAGGAGUCAAUAACAAAAAGAGCUACCAGUCGCCGUGAGCUACCGGAGAGAAAGGCGCCCUCAAACCUUGAAACACACGGCUCCUACAGCUUCCGAAGAACUCAAACCCCAUAAACUGCCCAAAGAAUCACAUCCCGAACACGCUAGCUAACCCAAGAAACACCUAACCGGCAGCACGAAGAGGAUCUCACAACCGACGAUGCCGUCGUUCGGUGAAGAGCGUUGAAGAUUGCUGCCUCCAACACAACAACCCGUGACCGUAUACACCCUUGAACCCAAGGCCCAUAUAGAGCAGUGGGACCGGCCAGAAACGCCUCCUCCGGAGAAGCACCACCAAGCACGCUAGAAAGCCGGUAGCCAAACUAAAGCCUAUCCAUUGUUUACUGACCCAAUCAACUCCACAGCUAAACCGUCACCGAGAAUCCAGGAGGGUAGAGACUCGACAACCGCCACACCACCGAGCCCCCACAUUUUAUUAGGAGAGGCGAGAGUAGCCCGAGGGCCACAACACCAGCCUGCACACAAACGGAGCCAAGAACUACCGCAACACCCCAGAUCCGUA